rnacentral:misc_RNA from 1 species
AAAGUCGUAACAAGGUAUCCGUAGGUGAACCUGCGGAUGGAUCAUUACAAUAGUGGAAGCAUUGCUUCAUUACACUUUACAACCUGUGCACUGUGGAGUCGAGUUUCGGCUCUUCUCCUUCUACAUAUUUUUUAUUAAACUGAAACUUAAACAUUUAUAACAAUGUAAAACUUUUAGCAACGGAUCUCUAGGCUCUC